rnacentral:misc_RNA from 1 species
UGGCUCACGCAUCGAUGAAGAACGCAGCGAAAUGCGAUAAGUAAUGUGAAUUGCAGAUUUCAGUGAAUCAUCGAAUCUUUGAACGCACCUUGCACCCUUUGGUAUUCCGAAGGGUACGCCUGUUUGAGCGUCAUUAAAUCAUCAACUUCAAAUAUCUUUUGAUAUCUUGGAGCUUGGAUCUGGGAGCUUUGCGGGCUGCAUUAUGCGGUCGGCUCUCCUCAAAUGCAUUAGCUUGGGGCUUCUUGCCUUUCGCCUGUUGGUGUGAUAAUUAUCAUCGCCGGCUGGUAUCGGCUGUAUAGGCUCUGCUUCCAAUUGUCUUCGGACAGUCUCUGUUGAGGCUACAAACUCUGACAAUUGUGACCUCAAAUCAGGUGGGAUUACCCGCUGA